UUUGCCCAUUUCUGUUCGUGUCGAGCUCCUCUUUGUCUUCCUUUUCUCCUAUUCAUCCUCCGCCGCUGCCUGAUGCUAUGACGUUCCUCUUCUGAAAACCUUCAGUCGCUUCUCCACUCUUCUGCACUGUGAUGUCUUCAGCUGUCCACCGCGGCUUUCUUCGCUCUCCCCUACGGCGAUGCCAUUGCUCCUUCGUUUUUUCUUUCCCCCCAUCAGUUCCAUGGUGAGAACCUGCAUUUCUCUUUUCUCUCAGCCCCAUCACCUCCAUCUGACUUUUCUCUCGGGCAUCCUGCGCAGAGGAAAAAGGGGAGGAGGGGAGUGGAUGGCUUUCAUCACCGUUUUUCAUCCUGCAGGCAGCUGUAAUGCGCUGUUAGAAGAACAGGAGGGCUGAUUCUUCCUCCCUCAGCAUGCUCCCGACAUUUUCUCCCACGUCGAUCAGCCAAUUCAGAUUGUUGAGAAUAUUCAAGACGCCCCUUUUCUUGUGUGCCUGUACUCAAGCACAAAAGGUGUAGCAAUGAGGUUAGAGAGAGAGUUCGUGGGAGUAGAAGAACAGAAUUGGUCGAAGAUGAAGAGUUCUCUGAAGGAGAAGGCACUGGAUGGAAUGAUUCUGGUGGAGGAGCUCAAGGAAAUCAAGAAGGAAGCAGAGGACAGCACAAGUAAAUGCUCCAAAUUAUGGGGCUUGUUGAUGCAGGAGAAAGGAAUAGAUCUUGGUGCUUGUUACAUCCUCAAGACUUCCAGGAUUUGCUCUGCUUUGGGGUUGUGCACCCACUUUUGCCUGAUUAGGGCACAGUGUCAUGGCAACGCAGCUGAAGUUCAGCUAAGAAAUUCAUGGCUCAACAUGGAUUUCCAAGAUUAUCCCAGAAGCCUUGGAGGUCCAUUUUUUUUUUUAAAUCAAUUGAUUUGUAUAUAGAACAGGGGAAAUUUUUGAUGCAGGAUACUUCUUUGACA